GUAGCAUAGGCUUGUGGGUAUGAUUUAUAUUUUUUUAAAUUAAUAAAGAGCGAGUUUUGUUCAUAUUUAUUAAUAGCAGUGUAAUAUAUUUAUGUGAAUCAUCUGUUGAAUUUUUGUUAAGAAAAUAUAUUUCUACGAGUUAGGUGUAGUAUACCGAAUUUUUUUUAAUUAUAGAAAUAAAUGUAGAUAAAAAUAGUAUGAAAUACUAUUUUUAUUGGACGUAGAGGAGUAAAUGAUAAUUUAGAAAUAAUUUGUGGUGAAAUUGGAAUGGAAAUAAAAGAUUUAGAAUUUUCUGUAAGGAAGAGGGCUAAUUUUUUAGCAGAAAGUUUACAGUGUCAGAAAAUUAUAAAAAUUUGAGAAUAUAUCGGAAUUAUUUUUUUUCUGAUACUACAUUUAAAGUUUUAUGUCAUUCCGACACCCAAAAAAUAAAAAUGAAACAUAACUGCUAUCUGCUAAAGAUUUUUGUCGGUAAAGCUUUCGGUGAUAAAAAAUGGCUCAAAACUGAAAAAUUAAAAUCACAUUUUUCUGAUUGAUUUUAACUGAGCACGAUUGUCAAAUUUGAGCGCAAACGAAUAUUCGGAAGGGUUAAAAUAUUAGAUUCUAAACUGAACUAAUAUCAUAAUACUUAAAGCUAGUGGACUUAUUGGCAUAUUGUACCUUAGUAGAAUUCCACAAAACGAAAUGAGGCGUUUUUCUCGUUUAACGGUGUAAAGAUAUAUAUCCAAAUCAAUUGAAUUUUAAUUAAAAAAUUAUUUAAUCUAUUUAGAACAAGAUUGAUAUUUUGAUCUUGAUAACAAGACUCCUAUCAUCAUUUUUUAAAGGAUAUUUAUUUUCAGUCGUUCAUUUUUGUGUCCACUUGAUGGAUAAGAAAAUAAUAUCGAAAAAAACAUAAAAUUUGGUUUCAAGAUACUUCAAGGGGUAUAGAUCAUGUUCAACGAUACCGAUCGUCGAUUUAAAAGGUCCAUCAUCGAAAAUAAAUGGGUGACAACGGAGCCCGUUUGCUACCGAUAGCAUUCCAACUCAACUAUAUAUAUAUAUAUAUAUAUAUAUAUAGAGAGAGAGAGAGAGAGAG
rnacentral:lncRNA from 1 species